GGGCCAUUUGGGACAUAUGCCAUGUGUCCAGUGGGUUCCUCUGUAGUGAGUAUGUGCAGAGUUAUGGUGAUGAAGGGCAUCAGAAUGGACAUACACAGAGAGAGAGAGAGACACCUCAAACAAAUCAUCAAUAACCACAGGUGACACACUUUGUAAGAAUGUAUUUGUUUUAUUGCUUGACCUGCCAUUAGGACAACCUAAACCAAAAGGAUUAUAACUGAGCACAAACAGUAAAGCAAACCUUGUACAGUCAUAAUCAUCAUCAUAAUAAAAUGGUCCUCUGGCCACCCUAUUCCCUACAUAGACCUCUUCCUCUUCCCUAAACAGACACCCUAUUCCUGACCAGGGCUCUAAAGUAGUGCACUAUAAAAGGAAAAAGGUUCCAUUUGGGAUGCAUCCCGCAGGCCUUGUCAAACGUCAAUGAGAGCUUGAAGGCCACGACCCAAAUCACCACCCUUUUUCCUCUCCUGAAAUGUGGACUUGCACACUUUUUUAUGCAUGGACUUAGCAAUGCUGGAAACUUCCCUCCUCCCUCCAGCCAAUGCUUAUACCAAUCCCAUGCUUUUAAAUCUACGACAGGGAGUGUGCAAGCCAAGUGGACACUAUGUGAGCAAGGAAGAGAAUUGGGACGUAGGCGAAGAAUGGGAGCACUAAACAGAGUAGGCCCAAUCCUAAACCAAAAACCUUGACCCCUACUCUAGAUAGGAAAGGAUUGGUUAGGUACAAGCCAUAUGGUAACAGCUCCACUGUGCCCUCUGAUAGGAUAGGUGGAGUUGUGAGCCACCUUGAUGACACCGUGCUGCCCGUCUGACCCUGGACUUGCUCCAGACCAUCCUCAGCCUUCCCCUCUGACAGCCUCCCUCCGAUGACCAUCCUCACCCUUCCCCUCUGACAGCCUCCCUCCGAUGACCACUCAAGCCAUGAACUUCCCGACCCUCUCAUGAACUUCCAUCUGAUGAACGAUGUAUUUUUCUAAAUCGCUAGUCUUUUUGUGUGUUGCUUUAAAGCACUUUGAGAUUCUUUAUGUAAUAACAGCACUAUAAGAGUUUCAUUAUUAUAUUGCUGAUACCCAUCCAAUCCUCUCAGUUCUGCAAUAGUGCCCAAAGGGUAGGAUGUAGGAAUAGGGGCUCGGGGUUGAUUUGGGACACAUGAUAUUUCUCUAAACCAGGGAGUUCUAGAUUACCCCCAAGUCCUCCCACUGCUAGAGUUCUAGAUUCCCCCCAAGUCCUCCCACUGCUAGAGUUCUAGAUUCCCCCCAAGUCCUCCCACUGCUAGAGUUCUAGAUUCCCCCCAAGUCCUCCCACUGCUAGAGUUCUAGAUUCCCCCCAAGUCCUCC
rnacentral:lncRNA from 1 species